rnacentral:rRNA from 1 species
GGCGAACGCUGGCGGCGUGCUUAACACAUGCAAGUCGAACGGUGAGGCCCUUCGGGGUACACGAGUGGCGAACGGGUGAGUAACACGUGGGUGAUCUGCCCUGCACUUCGGGAUAAGCCUGGGAAACUGGGUCUAAUACCGGAUAGGACCACUGCCUGCAUGGGUGGUGGUGGAAAGCUUUUGCGGUGUGGGAUGGGCCCGCGGCCUAUCAGCUUGUUGGUGGGGUGAUGGCCUACCAAGGCGACGACGGGUAGCCGGCCUGAGAGGGUGACCGGCCACACUGGGACUGGGAUACGGCCCAGACUCCUAAGGGAGGCAGCAGUGGGGAAUAUUGCACAAUGGGCGCAAGCCUGAUGCAGCGACGCCGCGUGAGGGAUGACGGCCUUCGGGUUGUAAACCUCUUUCAGCACCGACGAAGCGCAAGUGACGGUAGGUGCAGAAGAAGGACCGGCCAACUACGUGCCAGCAGCCGCCGUGG